rnacentral:rRNA from 1 species
CAGUAGCCACGGGAAUACAGAGGGUGCGAGCGUUAAUCGGAUUUACUGGGCGUAAAGCGUGCGUAGGCGGCUUCUUAAGUCGGAUGUGAAAUCCCUGAGCUUAACUUAGGAAUUGCAUUCGAUACUGGGAAGCUAGAGUAUGGGAGAGGAUGGUAGAAUUCCAGGUGUAGCGGUGAAAUGCGUAGAGAUCUGGAGGAAUACCGAUGGCGAAGGCAGCCAUCUGGCCUAAUACUGACGCUGAGGUACGAAAGCAUGGGGAGAAAACAGGAUUAGAUACCCCGGUAGUCCCUGUCUCUUAUAA